UCUAGAGGACUGCGGCUGCUGAGCCGGUUCGGGCUCUUGUGCUGAAGGCGCUUUUACGAUUUUUUUUCUGGAUCGUUCCACCGGCUGGCUGCCUGCUCCCUCCCCCUUCUCCCGGGACCCUCGGACUCUGGGGAUCCCCCAGCGCUCUGCCCGGACCCUCCCCCGCCCGUUUCCCGCUCUGCCUGGAUUCUUCCAGACACUUCUGGAUCCCCGGCAUCCCUCCCGACGCGGGCCUGUGGGCCGCUCAGACCGGCCGCGGCGGUUGCGGCCGCGGCGGGUUCCCGGGGGCGGGCGGCCGGAUGUGCGCGGCGCGGGACGGGCGGAGAGCGCGGCGGCCCUCGCGACCUGGCGCCAGAGGACAGGGAAUUCGGGCGCAGGAGGGAGUGGACGGCGGCCACCCGGUGCACAGAGUGGGGCGAAGCAACUUCGCUUUCCUCAGAGCCGGGGAGACCCAGCUGCGGCCAGAUGUUCUGCCUUUGGCUUCUUGAGAUGCUCGGAGCGGCCGAUUUGCAAGAAGUGAUCCGCCGAGCUGAGGACUCUUUAAAUGGGGCACAUACUAAGGGGAUCUUCCCCGUCGAUAAGAGUGCUGUUUCGGUUAACGCUUGCCAACAAUAAUGGUGAACCCACGAAGUUAGGCGUUCCGUUUUCCUAAAGGUCCACAGAAGGAAUAUUCUCAGUCUUUGGUUCCCAAGUGUUUACUGACCGCCGGGGAGCAGGCAGCGUGUGUGGCGGGUCCCAAUUUGUGGCUAGUUACCUUAAUAAUGGCUGUUUGACCCAAAGAGCCUGAUUUGUUCAGCACUUACCACCGGUUUGGUGUCAAAUAGUUAUUGGCUGAAUGAAUUUUUAUUCCAGUAAUAACAUUUUCUUGGGAGCUCUUGCUAAGUUGUCCGGCACUGUGCUGUCGGACGCAAACGACCUCAUCUAGAAGUAAUAGUGCGGAGGGUCACCCAAACUCCAAGAAACCAGGAUGGGGCAUGCUGGCUUGCGGGAUGGCCGUUUUCUCCUGUGGUUGGCUUAUGCACCUGCUGAUUCUCCGUGUGUGGUAGUUUCUUUUAAUACUAGGGCCAUUUGUUUGACAAAACAAGUCGGAAUAAAAGAGUUGACCUUUAGAGUAA